GGCAGCAGAGGUCCACCAGGCCAGGUUAAGGAAAUCUGCAACGGUGGGCUGCAGUGGAGAGAGGGGCGUGGACUGCCACUGCUGCCCCUCGCCCUAGGUCACCCCCAGCUUUAUCAAAUGUCAGAGCACCAGGAAUCCUCCAUCAUCAAUGAGGACACAGAGUAAGUCCUAAGAGGAAGGGAAUGGGGAGGAAAAUGGAGAGGGGCUGGGCCCCGGACCUUCCACCGCAGGCAGUCCAGUGGUUCAGAGUUGGGGGGCAUCACUCCCCCAGUCCCGGGAAGGCUGUGAAGUCAGGGUGGGGAUGUUGAGACCCACAGGCCAAGGGAUGUGCUGGGAGUCGCGGCUGGGACUAGGAAGUCUGGAAGUGGGGUGAGCUAGGGUCCAGGGUAGGUUCAGGGCACACACACCUCAUUGUUAACCUCGCAGUCCAUCUCACAGUGGCUGUUGGGGCCGCACUGCUGGGCAGAGAGUGAGGACCGUAAGCCACCCACCAGUUUUCCUCCCUCCCAUCACCUUUCAUACAUCCGGUUCCCCAGGCCAUCUGCGGCUGGCCCUGCCUCCAUGUAGGUGUUGGAGCCACUGAGUGGAGGGUUGGUGGGGGUUCCAGGGGACUCCAGGAAGGGCACUGCUGGGUUACUGCCCCCGCCCCUGCCCAAAUACCUUCUGAGGCUGGUCUUGGUGGGUACGGUUGCUGGCUAGCACCUUGAACUUCUCAGCCCAAGCCUCUAGGUCCAGCUUGACGCCCACCACUUUGGGGGAGAGCAAGGGACCAUCAGUGCUACCUGCCCAGGCAGUACCCUGUCCAUUGCCUGUUUCCCCACCUCUGUCCCAAACAUUCACCUGCUGGCCUCAGUGUGCGCCUGCCUAGGCUGAGCUCCACAGCUGUGCUGACGAGGAUGCCCACGGUGUCAUUCUCCAGCUCCAGCGGCCUUAACAGGGCUGGGGGUUGGGCGGGGAAGUCAGGAGUGGGGUCUGGCGGCCACACUGACCACUCUAUGCUGGGUCCUACAAACCCAGCAGUCCAAUCCCGGGAUGACUCCAGCCCAAGCACCCAGCACUCAGGACAGUGUUUGGCACAGUCUAUCCCUCUCUUCACGUCUGCCCUGGCCUCAGCCAGCCUUGUGUUGGAGAGGGGCCUCAGACAGCAGAGCCCAGUUCUGGCUGAGCAGACAGGAAAGCUGAGGCUCCCUGCCUGCUGCUGGGCACACUGCGGGGACACUCACCAUCCUGGUGUGGGGGCUUGAAGACAUAACCGUGGUUAUCCAGGCUGCGGCGGUAGAAGCUGGCAUUGAAGGGCUCAGGGUUCUCUGUCCAGUCCUCAGCUGCCCUGGAGCACCCAAGAGGCAGACUGGCUGGGUGAUGCCUACGUGUUGAGAUCCUGGUCCCUCCACACACGCUCUACCAGCUGCUGCGUGAUGCCCGUGUCCAAGAUCAGGUUGUGCAGAAGGAAGUUGUUGCCUGGAACAGGAGGGGAGGGGUGGGGGUGGGGGCAUCUUCUUGCAGCUCCUUGCCCACCCUCACCCCCACCCUCAAGGCUCCACCAGGAGCCUCCUCCAUGACCUGGCCCUGGCCCAGGCCCAGCCCUUAGCUUGUGCCUGCUUAUUUCCACACCUGCCCGGCCUCUGGGUUCCUCUGGGCUGGCCCCAUGCUGCCUGGGCACUGCCCAGAGCCAGCUGCCCUGCCAGGCACUCACACUGCUUGGAGUCUGGAGUCACUUUCUCCAUGAGCUCAAUAAAGUUUUUCAGGAACUCGG